UUUGGAGCUCAAAAAAAUAAAGUCUGACAUUGUUUCCACUGUUUCCCCAUCUAUUUCCCAUGAAAUGAUGGGACCAGAUGCCAUGAGCUUCGGUUUCUGAGUGUUGAGCUUUAAGCCAACUUUUUCAGUCUCCUGUUUCACUUUCAUCAAGAGGCUUUUUAGUUCCUCUUCACUUUCUGCCAUAAAGGUGGUGUCAUCUGCAUAUCUGAGCUUAUUGAUAUUUCUCCCGGCAAUCUUAAUUCCAGCUUGUGCUUCUUCCAGCCCAGCGUUGCUCAUGAUGUACUCUGCAUAGAAGUUAAAUAAGCAGGGUGACAAUAUACAGCCUUGAUGUACUCCUUUUCCUAUUUGGAACCUAUCUACCAUUUUCACUUGUAGAUUAAGCAAUUGUAAAUGUUUUAGAAUUAUUAAUGCACUCUACACAGAAGAACUGUACAAAAAAGAUCUUCACAACCAAGAUAAUCACGAUGGUGUGAUCCCUCACCUAGAGCCAGACAUCCUGGAAUUUGAAGUCAAGUGGGCCUUAGAAAGCAUCACUACAAACAAAGCUAGUGGAGGUAAUGGAAUUUCAGUUGAGCUAUUUCAAAUCCAGAAAGAUGAUACUGUGAAAGUGCUGCAUUCAAUAUGCCAGCAAAUUGGAAAACUCAGCAGUGGCCACAGGACUGGAAAAGGUCAGUUUUCAUUCCAAUCCCAAAGAAAGGCAAUGCAAUAGAAUGCUCAAACUACUGCACAAUAGCACUCAUCUCACACGCUGGUAAAGUAAUGCUCAAAUUUCUCCAAGCCAGGCUUCAGCAAUACAUGAACCGUGAACUUCCAGAUGUGCAAGCUGGUUUUAGAAAAGGCAAAGGAACCAGAGAUCAAAUUGCCAACAUCCGCUAGAUCAUCAAAAAAAGCAAGGGAGUUCCAGAAAAACAUCUAUUUCUGCUUUAUUGACUAUGCCAAAGCCUUUGACUGUGUGGAUCACAAUAAACUGUGGAAAAUUCUGAAAGAGAUCAGAAUACCAGACCACCCAACCUGCCUCUUGAGAAACCUAUAUGCAGAUCUGGAGGCAACAGUUAGAAGUGGACAUGGAACAACAGACUGGUUCCAAAUAGGAAAAGGAGUUUGUCAAGGCUGUAUAUUGUCACCCUGCUUAUUUAACUUCUAUGCAGAGUACAUCAUGAGAAACUCUGGGCUGGAUGAAGCACAAGCUGGAAUCAAGAUUGCCGGGAGAAAUAUCAAUAACCUCAGAUAUGCAAAUGACACCACCUUUAUGGCAUAAAGUGAAGAAGAACUAAAGAGCCUUUUGAUGAAAGUGAAAGAGGAGAUGGAAAAGUUGGCUUAAAACUCAACAUUCAGAAAACUAAGAUCAUGGCACCCGGUCCCAUCACUUCAUGGCAAAUAGACGGGGAAACCAUGGAAACAGUGGCUGACUUUAUUUUGGGGGGCUCCAAAAUCACUGCAGAUGGUGACUGCAGCCACAAAAUUAAAAGACGCUUACUCCCUGGAAGGAAAGUUAUGACCAACCUAGACAGCAUAUUAAAAAGCAGAGACAUCACUUUGCCAACAAAGGUCCAUGUAGUCAAAGCUAUGUUUUUUCCAGUAGUCAUAAUUGGAUGUGAGAGUUGGAUUAUAAAGAAAUCUGAGUGCUGAAGAAUUGAUGCUUUUGAACUGUGGUGUUGGAAAAGACUCUUGAGAGUCCCUUGGACUGAAGGGAGAUCCAACCAGUCCAUCGUAAGGGAAAUCAGUCCUGAAUAUUCAUUGGAAGGACUGAUGUUGAAGCCAAAACUCUAAUACUUUGGCCAGCUGAUGAGAAGAGCUGACUCAUUUGAGAAGACCUUGAUUCUAGGAAAAAUUGAAGGCGGGAGGAGAAGGGGGACAACAGAGGAUGAGAUGGUUGGAUGGCAUCACUGACUAAAUGGACAUGAGUUUGGGUAAACUGGAGUUGGUGAUGGACAGGGAGGCCUGGCGUGCUGCACUUCUUGGGGUUGCAACGAGUCAGACACAUUGCAGUCAGUUCAGUUGGAGCGACUGAACUGAAGUGAAUUGAAAUAUUAGAGAUAUAUCAAUAUUUUUACUCAAGAUAAAUAGCAGAGCUAGAUAGUUGAUAAGAAAAUAAAAAUCCAGAAUGCAAAAUUUACUGAAACCCAUCAUUCAAUAAUCUAUACUUAUCUCAACCUUAAUUUGUUCUUGUUAUUAACGGAAAUAUCUAUUGAAAAUUGUGUUGGAAACUUCUGAGUUUCCUUAAAUCUUGCAUUUCCUUGAAUAUUAGGUAUCUUUUUC
ensembl:lncRNA